rnacentral:rRNA from 1 species
AAUGAUGGCCAGGCUGUCUCCACCCGAGACUCAGUGAAAUUGAACUCGCUGUGAAGAUGCAGUGUACCCGCGGCAAGACGGAAAGACCCCGUGAACCUUUACUAUAGCUUGACACUGAACAUUGAGCCUUGAUGUGUAGGAUAGGUGGGAGGCUUUGAAGUGUGGACGCCAGUCUGCAUGGAGCCGACCUUGAAAUACCACCCUUUAAUGUUUGAUGUUCUAACGUUGACCCGUAAUCCGGGUUGCGGACAGUGUCUGGUGGGUAGUUUGACUGGGGCGGUCUCCUCCUAAAGAGUAACGGAGGAGCACGAAGGUUGGCUAAUCCUGGUCGGACAUCAGGAGGUUAGUGCAAUGGCAUAAGCCAGCUUGACUGCGAGCGUGACGGCGCGAGCAGGUGCGAAAGCAGGUCAUAGUGAUCCGGUGGUUCUGAAUGGAAGGGCCAUCGCUCAACGGAUAAAAGGUACUCCGGGGAUAACAGGCUGAUACCGCCCAAGAGUUCAUAUCGACGGCGGUGUUUGGCACCUCGAUGUCGGCUCAUCACAUCCUGGGGCUGAAGUAGGUCCCAAGGGUAUGGCUGUUCGCCAUUUAAAGUGGUACGCGAGCUGGGUUUAGAACGUCGUGAGACAGUUCGGUCCCUA